rnacentral:tRNA from 1 species
UGCCCCAUGGUCUAAUGGCAGGACAGCUGGUUUUGGUCCAGUCAGUCGAGGUUCGAAUCCUCGUGGGGCAACCA